UGGAGUUAUUCAUUGUUUCUUAGUCAAAAGCAGUUUUUAAUGCAGCUGCGUCUGUUAAUUAGUUGGUGAAAAUGGUAUUCGCUGCCCUCACAAACUUAAAUUCUUUCUUCAAUCUUUCGAUUUCAUUGUUUAUAACGCCGUGUACGUUUUAAAUGAAAUGGAAAGUUUAGUUAAUUUCUUGCAAUUUAUGUAAUUAUAUACGGAUUUGAGUUCAUUGGUCAAUUGCUCUAUGUGAGAGCGCUUGUGCCCCGAUAAAGAACUCGUAAAAGUGAUUCAUGGACAAGAAUUUAGAGGUUUUAUAACGUAGUUGAUUUUUUGGUAUAACAAGAUUUCGGUUUUAAUUGAUUGACUACAAAUACCAAAUCAGAAUAUUUCUUCAGAAGAGUUAUCACAAUGAUUUGAUCUUUAGACAGCGGACAUCUUAAAUAGACAAUUGAAUUUGAAAAAAAUAAAGGAUGAGUUUAAAGUUGAACUUCUUAGUCUUCACAAUCCAUGCCAGUUGGUUGAAAAUUAUUGCACUGAAUCUUGUUUACUUGAGGAAAAAAGAAAAACCUGAGGUACACAGUUUCGAGUUUUACUGGGUUGUGUUGAACAAAGAUAAAUUCGGUGUAGUUGAAUGCCUUAGAGUUCAUUCUUUGGUGUUUUCUAUUGUUGGUCUUUGAGUGAACUAAGUCAAGGUUACCCCAAAUAUUUGGACUCACAAAUUUCCUUGCUGAAUGUUGCCAGGGUCCCAUAACAAUUUUGAGUUCCUUGAGAUGCAAUUUCUGGUUUUUACAUCAUUUUUGUUAUGGUGAAGUUCUGAACUCAUGACGAAAUGGUAAAAAGUUAAGCUUUCAAUUCAUUUUCCUAAAUAAAAGAUGCGGACGUCCUUGAUAUAACCAUUUCUUGUUUAAAGUAAUCCUAAAAGAUACCCUAAUUCUAUCUUAACAUUGAAGCGAUGUUGCUUUUUGUUGUGAUCUGUUAAAAAGAAUUGCGCUAGUGAAGAAAAUCAGGGUUGUCAUAGGUAGGGGUUCUUCUGAUGUAGUUUUUAAGUAUCUAUUCCUGUAUCUGAUAGCCCUAAUAGUUGCUCAUUUGAUUGGCAAAAUGUAAGAGUUUAAGCUUUGGGCCAUCUAUUUGGCAGUUUGGAGGUGGAUUAUGUGCAACUAUCUGGUUGAUUCAUAUUUUCAGAACUUGUUAUAUUGUUGUUCUAAAUAUUAUUAUGUAAAUGCCAGUUUAAAAACAGGGUUUUAUAUGUGAUACACUGCUUAGAAAAAUUUUGGAACAAUUGAAUAAGUUCUCCUUGUGAUCUCUAUAAUUUUGUAGUGAAUGAAUUAAUGUCAUGAGCUUGGUAUCCUUUUUCUUUGGUACCGGAGUACAUUUGCAUCUUCUUCUUGAAGCAAUAAACUUAUUGGGUAGGAAACUUUCGCUUGUCCUUUUAAUGUUUUACCUAGCUAAGUACAAUUAAUUUCCCCCUGCUUGAAGGAAGUGUGUUCUGUAUGAUAAAUCCUGCUCUGGCCUUCACGUAUCUAUUGAUGUCUGUGUAUAUUCAAGGAAAUGAAACUUGCUUAGAAAUUGAAAAUCCAACUCUUUGUGAACACCUGGUCCACAAGUGUAUCUUCUCAUUUUUAACUAGUGUAAUACAAAGUAUAUAGUUUCUUGUAAAAAGCACACUCGUGCACGUGUGUGCACACACUUGCACACACACACACACACA